AGGCAACUGGGAGGCUUGAGCCCAUGUUGGGCCGGCACAGCGCCCUGCAGGCCUGUUGCUGCUGGCAGUGUGAGGGCUACCCCGGCGUCGAGAUCCAGGACCUCACCACCGGCUCGACUUGCUGGCUCGUCCAACCUCUGCUUAAAGAUCUCCAAAGAAAGAAAAUCCACCACCAACCAAGGCAAUUCCACUACACUGUUGAUCCAUUUUCACAGUAAAGAGCUUUCCUAAUGUUCAGAUCAGUGGUUCCCAACCUUUUUUGACCAGGGCCCACCUGAACAGGGACCAUUUUGACUGGGGACCACUUUGACCAGAGACCAUUCUCCAACAUUAGUAUCAAAAGGUUUAUGAAUCAGUUUUUGGUCAACUUAAGAUUCAGUUUGGUUAUUUGGGGUACUGAUUUAGAAAAUUGCAUUGGCUAGACCACAUCAGGUUGAGAACCACUGGUUUAGAUGAAAUCUCUUCUUGAACUUUAGUUCUGUUGGUUUCCAUUCUAGUGUCUGCAGCAGCUCAAAACAAGGUUGCUCCUUCUUCUAACUGACAUCCCUUCUCUUCCCCAAUCCAAAUGUUAACAAUUCCCUAAACUGUUUAAUAAGGCUUGAUUUCCAGACCAUUUUUCAUAUUGGUAGCUCUUCUCUAAACACAUUUCACCUUGCCAACUCUGUCUCCAAAUAUGAUGGCAAUGUUACAAGUGUCAAUAAUGGUACCCACAAUGUCAGAAAUGCAGUUCUUGCUCAUUCCUCCAAUGCGAUAGCUUUCAUUCUAUGUCAGCAAUGUCCUUCUACACUCUACAUUGGACAAGCAUCUAUUUAUAUCCCAUCACGUACUAUCCCAUUUCUACAAAUGUGUAACUAUGUUUUAAAACUAGUGGCUGCUGGACUCCUCUUCUCUCCAUCCCCUUUCCUCCUCCCUUUUGUCAUUGAGUUUUGUAUGAAUGAAUGUUUGAUGUGCAUUUGCCCCCGAUGACGUAGUGGACUAAAGCCUAGUGACUUGAAGGUUGGGUUGCUGACCUGAAAGCUGCCAGGUUUGAAUCCCACCUGGGGAGAGUGUGAAUGAGCUCCCUCUAUCAGCUCCAGCUCCAUGCGGGGACAUGAGAGAAGCUUCCCACAAGGAUGGUAAAAACAUCAAAACAUCCGGGCGUCCCCUGGGCAACGUCCUUGCAGACGGCCAAUUCUCUCACUCCAGAAGCAACUCCAGUUGCUCCUGAUGCGGAAUUUUUUUUAUUUUUUUUUUGCAAAUUUCUUCUUGGGCAAACCAUUUGAAGAGAAUGGAAAAAAGCACAGAGCAGAGGAGAGACAUUUCUGGCAUGGAAGAGUGAUUGAUGUCUAGUCCACGUACAGAUUCACAUGUCUGUGUGAUAGGGAGAAAAGUCAGUGACCCGUGCCAUUGUUUUUGUAGCCACUGCUAAGAUAAUACCACUGGAUUGAGCACUCACCUAUCCUUUCAUCAAUUGUAAUAUUCAUCUUCAAAGUCUUGCUAGAUUGAAACCAGUAGCAAAAUCUGAUCAUGCAAACCAUCUGAUCAGAAACUUUGAAGGUUCUGUGCAAAUUUUGUAGUUAGUAAGCUAAUUACAAAAACAAGAAAUAUUAGCUAUUCUCCCAUGAGUGUUUCAACAGGUUUAGAGUUAGAAGCACUGUCUGCUUUGGAACUUGCUGUGAUCUCCAUUUUAGAAUAAUGCUGCUUCUUUUGAUGUCUAUCCAACCAACUGAGUCUGGCACAUAGGGUACUUUUAUGUCUGGCUGAGCCCAAAGGAAAGAAACAAGUAUCUAUGGGGGUUUAUUGAAUGAGAAUUAGAAAGGGAUUGUUUACCCCCACCCUCUUACUUCUGCCAAAGCAAGACUCAGAACAUUUUAUUCAUUCAGUAAUUCAUUUAUGUAUUAUAUUUAUAGGCUGUUAUUCGGCAGCGUUGUUUCCCGAAGUGGUUUAGAAUAAAAGCAUUAGAAAGGAACUCACAGGAGGAGUCCAAUGAAAUUUGACAAAAUUAAUCAGAAAGACAGACAGACAGACAAACAGGAAGACAGACAGACAGAAAUAGAAAGUGUAAGGAACCUAACCAAAUAGAAGCAACAGUGGGACAACCAAAACAGAGCGUGAGAACAAACAAUAAACAAACAAACCUCAAGAUUGACUUGCUUAAAUCUAAUCUCUGAAAGCACAGAGUAGUUUUCACCAUACCACAUAAAGAGAGGAUACACUGAGUCUGCAGAAUCUUCAAACAGAGAUAAUUUUAUAGAAAUGCCUUUCUCUUUUUUUGUGGAAAGUAUGCAUUCAGAACCAAUGCCCCAUUAGUUAUUGUUGUUAUUAUACCCAUCAAAGUAACUUCAAAUGAGAGCACUGGUCCUCAACUGCCCUCAUAGAAUUAUAGAAUCCUAAAGUUAGAAAAGACCGCAUGGGCAAUCUAGUCCAACCCCCUGCCAUGCAGGAAAAGCACAAUGAAAGCACUCUCAACAGAUGGCCAUGCAAGCUCUGUUUAAAGUCCUUCAAAGAAGGAGCCUCCACCACACUCCAAGGCAGAGAGUUUAUUUGCUGAACAGCUCUCAUGGUCAGGAAGUUCUUCCUAAUGUUCAGGUGGAAUCUCCUUUCCUGUAAUUUGAAUCCAUUGCUCCAAGUCCUAGUUUCUUGUGACAUCCUUUCAAAUAUUUUAAGCAUGGCUAUCGUGUCUCCACUCAUCCUUCUCUUCUGCAGACUAAACAGACCCAACUUCUCGUAGGGCAUGGUCUCCAGACCUUUUAUCAUUUUAGUUGCUCUCCUCUGGACAUUUUCCAGCUUCUCAAUAUCCCUCUUGAAUUGUGGUGCCCAGAACUGAACAGUGGUAUUCCAUGUGAGAUUUAACCCAAGCAGAAUAGAAAGGCACCAUGACUUCCCUUGACCUAGACACUAUAUUCCUUUUGAUGCACCCCAAAAUCAUUGGCUUUUUUAGCUGCUACAUCACAUUCUUGGCUCAUAAUCAACUUGUGACACUCUAAGUCAGAUCUUGCAAAGUUGGAGCAGCCUUUUAUUUCUUGAUUGGCUGAUCCAUGUGGGUAUGGUCUCCCUCUUUCCUAAGACCUUCUACUUUGUUGAGUAUUGCUGUAUUUUCCAGUGGAUCAUGUCACCUCAUGAUAUGUCUAAAGUGUGAUAGCUUCGGUUAUGUCACUUUGGCUUCUUAUGAGAGUUCAGGCCUGAUUUGCUUUAGGACCCAAGCAUUUGUCCUCCUAGCAGUGUUCCUUACCAUGGUAUUUAUAAAACCCUCUCCCAGCAUUAUAUUUCAGAGUUGAUAAUCUUCUUGCCAUCUCCCUUCAGUGUCCAGCUUUCAAGACCAUACAUAAAAAUCAUUGGUACAAUGGCAUAGAUGAUCCUAACUUUAGUAUCUCCUUAUAACUCUUUCCUCUAGAGAAUCUUAGGUAAUUGCUCCAUAGGUACCCUUUCAAAUAUAAAUUCUUGUUGAUACUGACCAGAAGACUCAUGACAUGUGGGGGGCGGGGGGUGGACUUUCAUUCAACUUCAGACAAAGUUAGAGGACAUCCCAGAAUUUUCUAGAAACUCUGGAGAAUCCCAGGGUUGGUUUCAGACUGAUCCCCUGUCUAAAUGGACACUGUGCCAUCAUUGCUUCCUUGUGCUGGUCAGUGUAAGGAAAGUGAAUGGCUCAUCCCAGUGUUGCUGCCAUUCUCCAUUGGGCACAAAGCUCUACCCAAGGGCCUGGCUGUCAUUAUUGCAUCUGCCAAUGUGAGGAGGGGAGAUUGACCCCUUCCAUUUUGCUGGUCAGUCAAGCACUCUGUUCUGACACUAGCUGAUGUGACCACAAUAGUCAGGCACUCACACAGAACUCUAUGACUGGCUAGUGAUAUGGAAGACAAGGUGGCAGCCCAGGCAAGGUGAUAUAUGGUCCCAGCCCAAGAUUCAUCACAUAGAUGUGGAUUUGGGGCUGCUCUGCACUAUAUUUACCCCUGACUAAACUGCCCAGUGUGGAUGCAACCUUAGAGUUCUAAUUUCUUGACUACAGCUCCCUUGUGACCAAUGGCUUAGCUUAUAUCCGAAUAAUCUUUAACCAUUUUCAUGAAUUCAUUGCUCACUUUAAAGAACUUUCAUGACAGAUCAUAACUCUGGGAGAGACUCAUGCAACCUUGUUACUGAUUGUCCAGUGCUAUGAAACAUUGGAGAUAUGCAUACAAACACACAUACAGAAAGAAAGUCAGACAUCUAAUUGAAAAGGAGGUAAUUCUAGCCUUGCAGGUAUUUUGGGGCUAGAACAACUUUGAUCUCAUUGUCUAUGCAACUAAAGGCUGAUGGAAGUUUUGACCCAACAGCAACUACUAGAAUAAAGCAGUUAACCAUUCCUAAUUUAGGAAUAUCAGAGGCAUUGUACUAAACAAAGAAUGAGUAUACUGUAUUUGCAUUGUUAAACCUUUCAUGUAAAUAUAGUUUCUGAAAACCCAAUAUUUUGCAGUGAAAUGAAUAGUAACAGAAAUUUUUCCCAACCCAAGCAUUGACAUCAAGUGUUGAGCUCAGAGUAAGGACAGUUGAAGAUGUUGGUGUAUUUUGGUGUAAGGGUGAAAUGUUGAAUCAAGUGUAUUUUUUUUAAUUGGGUUUUUUGCAACUAUGUAUUCUGGUAUGCUUUCCAGCAGCACACAGGUUAAUGACAGACCAGCUUGAUUGAUCGCCUGCCUAGCGAAUAGGUCAUGCCUUCCAGUUUCAGAAGUGUGGACAGGACGUUUGUCAUUCUAUUAUGGAAUGUGGGAGUCACCGGCAGAAGAGCCUCGCUGACCAUCGGCAAAGAGAGAGGACAUGCUUUGCUUUUGUUAGGGAAGCAUGGGUCCUAUGAGCAAUGGACUUUGUAGCUGUAAAUAGUUUGUAUAUAAUAAAGCCUUAGAACCGCUGGGAUCAGCUGAAUUACUACUAUGGUGUCGUUUGGUGCUGCUUGUAGCCAGAUGCUUAAGUGGUCUGAUGGAAGAUGGAUUGGUGAGAGGCCUGACUCACCAAUAAAUCAGGGUGGUACGGAGUUAAUUAACAACCCAACAGAAGAGUAGAUUCUGAUGACUUUCCAUGUUGGUGUGAUGACUCAUGGGCCAUGUAGUCCCGUUCCUAGUACUAUUGUGGCAGAUGAAGAGGAAAACUUGGGUUUCCCACCGUUUCAGCCAGAAUUGGAGCCCUUGCACCUGCAAGAUGUUUGCCCACAAGAAGUCAGCCAAACAAGCCUUGAGCAGAAAUCUCCCCCAUUUUCUCGCCGGGAUUAUUAUAAUCGAGAUAGAGGCGCUAGGGAGGCGAAUCGCAGAAGCGCCAGGAUUGCUGCCAGACAAUUAACUGAUUAAGCCUGUUUCCCUUGGGAAAUCUUAAGGAGUCAUGCAUCUGGACACAGUAUGGGUUUCGUUUCUUGUUCCCCAGGGAAAGUGUUCCUUGGCGGGAAAACAAGAUCCUAUAUAGGUGUUUGCCCGCAAAGAAAUCCUUGCGGAGUCAAUUCGUCACCUUGUGGAGUGAGAUCGUGUAUGGACUACGCUACUCCAGUCCCCUGCCUCCAGGACCAAGUUCCAAGCCUUGUUUCUCGGACCUUGUUCUAGCAUCAAGCUUUCCUUGUUUCCACGGACCUCGCCACGGACCUUGUUCUUGUUUCUUGCCUCUUGCUGCCAUGUAUCAAGCCUUGUUUGCCAAGAAUCUAGUUUUGCUUCCAGCAUUGUUGCCAAGCUCCAUUGGACUAAAGGACCCUGUCAUUUCCCCACACUUUGCUUGGCAAAGUGUGUGUUUCGGUUAUUGAAUUACAACUUUGGACUCUAAUAUCACAUAUUGGACAUUGCUUUCCUGAACUAUAUUUGACCUUUCCUGAAAGGUCUACUUCUGAACUAUAUUCUUCACUUGCUUUUAUUGACUUUAUAUAAUCCUUUAAUAAAGAUAUUAGAUAGA